CCGGUUCCGGUUCACACCGCCCCCGCACACGCGGAGAUCGGUGACCCGGCGACC
rfam:Williamsia sp. Leaf354 contig_4, whole genome shotgun sequence.